UUUACACUCUUAUCUGCGGCUGCUCUCUUCGUUCUCCACUCUCCGGAUCCAAUUUUCUCACUAUCAAGAAAUAUUCCUUUCAUCAACAAAUUGCGCCCGGUAACGUCAGUCGUCAGGUACCUUUUGCCGUUGUUGCAUCAGUAUGAUUCAACUGCAGAGGAAUGAGGAAUCUGAUACAGCAGAGUCCCAUGGUGUUGGUGCUAGCAUUCAAAAGAAGACUGGGAAUGAUGUUUGGAACUGUUGGAAAUUGUGAUGUUUGGAACUGUUGGAUGAGGUAAAUUGUGAUAUGGAAAUUGUGAUGUUUGGAACUAUUGGUUGAGGAAUCACUAUAUUUCUUUGUCAACAUUACUACUUUGACGUGAAUGAUUGCUAAUAUGAUUUGAUGUGGUCUUUUAAU